rnacentral:miRNA from 15 species
AUAUUGUAUUCCAGAAUGGUGU